rnacentral:rRNA from 1 species
UACAGAGGGUGCAAGCGUUGAUCGGAAUUAUUGGGCGUAAAGGGCGCGUAGGCGGUGCUGUAAGUCUGUGGUGAAAUCUCUGGGCUCAACUCAGAGUCUGCCAUAGAAACUGCAGUGCUGGAGUGUGGGAGAGGUGAGUGGAAUUCCCGGUGUAGCGGUGAAAUGCGUAGAUAUCUGGAGGAAUACCGGUGGCGAAGGCGGCAUCCUGGACCGACAUUGACGCUGAGGAGCGAAAGCCAGGGGAGCAAACGGG